rnacentral:rRNA from 1 species
UACGUAGGGGGCGAGCGUUGUCCGGAGUUACUGGGCGUAAAGCGCACGCAGGCGGUCUGCUAAGUUUGGAGUGACAGUUGGUGGCUUAACUGCCAAAGUGCUUCGAAAACUGACAGACUUGAGGGCUUCAGAGGGACACGGAAUUCCGGGUGGAGUGGUGAAAUGCGUAGAGAUCAGGAAGAACACCCGUGGCGAAGGCGGCCCACUGGGCCGGUGCUGACGCUGAGGCGCGAAGGCGUGGGGAGCGAACGGG